CCGGGUGAGUAACACGUGAUUAACCUACCUUCGAGUGGGGAAUAACUUCGGGAAACCGAAGCUAAUACCGCAUAACAUCCCUAGGACGAGAAGCCCAGGGAUCAAAGGAGCAAUUUGCUUGAAGAGGGGGUCGCGGCUGAUUAGCUAGUUGGCGGAGUAAUGGCCCACCAAGGCGAUGAUCAGUAGCCGGCCUGAGAGGGCGCACGGCCACACUGGAACUGAAACACGGUCCAG
rnacentral:rRNA from 1 species